UAUCCUUCACCUUCUCUUCUUUUUCAUUUUUACAAGUCUUUUCUUGUUUCCUCUUUUUUCUUUUUUACGUGUAACUUCUUUCUUUUUUUUCUCUCACCCUUCCGAUUUUUCUAUUCUUGUUGUCAAUCUUUUUUGAUUAAUGACAAAAAGGGGAGUAAUAGGGUUUGAUUUUGAUUGGUUUUAUCCAUUGAUCAAUCUCGAACAUCAAUUAAUUUGGAUGAAAUUUCUUGUAAUUAUGAUAUUAUAUCAAUGAAUGAAAUUU
rnacentral:lncRNA from 1 species